CGGUAAAUUGAAUGAUGAGUGGGAGGAUGUCGCAGCCAUUGUUUGGCUGAUAAGGGAGCCUGGCGCACUAUUACCUGGCCCUCUGAAACGAGAGCCCACCUGUCAAUCAAUACCACC
rnacentral:pre_miRNA from 1 species